UACGUAGGUGGCAAGCGUUGUCCGGAUUUAUUGGGUUUAAAGGGUGCGUAGGCGGCUAACUAAGUCAGUGGUGAAAUAUCUCAGCUUAACUGAGAGGGUGCCAUUGAUACUGGAUAGCUUGAGUACAGAUGAGGUAGGCGGAAUUGACGGUGUAGCGGUGAAAUGCAUAGAUAUCGUCAAGAACACCGAUAGCGAAGGCAGCUUACCAAGUUGUAACUGACGCUGAGGCACGAAAGUGUGGGGAUCAAACAGG
rnacentral:rRNA from 1 species